rnacentral:rRNA from 1 species
UGGGGAAUUUUGGACAAUGGGCGCAAGCCUGAUCCAGCAAUGCCGCGUGCAGGAUGAAGGCCUUCGGGUUGUAAACUGCUUUUGUACGGAACGAAACGGUCCUUUCUAAUACAGGGGGCUAAUGACGGUACCGUAAGAAUAAGCACCGGCUAACUACGUGCCAGCAGCCGCGGUAAUACGUAGGGUGCGAGCGUUAAUCGGAAUUACUGGGCGUAAAGCGUGCGCAGGCGGUUAUGUAAGACAGAUGUGAAAUCCCCGGGCUCAACCUGGGACCUGCAUUUGUGACUGCGUAGCUAGAGUACGGUAGAGGGGGAUGGAAUUCCGCGUGUAGCAGUGAAAUGCGUAGAUAUGCGGAGGAACACCGAUGGCGAAGGCAAUCCCCUGGACCUGUACUGACGCCCAUGCACGAAAGCGUGGGGAGCAAACAGGAUUAGAUACCCUGGUAGUCCACGCCCUAAACGAUGUCAACUGGUUGUUGGGUCUUCACUGACUCAGUAACGAAGCUAACGCGUGAAGUUGACCGCCUGGGGAGUACGGCCGCAAGGUUG